rnacentral:rRNA from 1 species
AGUAUCAUUAAGUGAAUACAUAGCUUAAUGAGGGGAACUCAGGGAACUGAAACAUCUAAGUACCUGAAGGAAGAGAAAGAAAUUCGAUUCCGUAAGUAGCGGCGAGCGAACGCGGAUUAGCCCAAACCAAUAAAGUUUUCUUUAUUGGGGUUGAGGACAUACCACAUAUAAGAGGUCAUUAUAGACGAAGAAGUUUGGAAAAACUCAUCAUAGAAGGUAAUAAUCCUGUAGUCAAAAUAAUAAUUCUUUAGGUAUGAUCCAGAGUACCACGGGACACGUGAAACCCUGUGGGAAGCAGGAGGGACCACCCUCCAAGGCUAAAUACUACCUAGUGACCGAGAGCGUAUAGUACCGUGAGGGAAAGGUGAAAAGAACCCCGGGAGGGGAGUGAAAUAGAACCUGAAACCCUGCACUUACAAGCUGUGGAAGCACAUUUCUUGUGUGACCGCGUACUUUUUGUAGAACGGGCCAACGAGUUACGUUAAGUAGCAAGGUUAAGCACUUAAGGUGCGGAGCCGUAGCGAAAGCGAGUUUUAACUGAGCGUUCAGUUACUUGACGUAGACCCGAAACCGGGCGACC